rnacentral:rRNA from 1 species
GAUGAACGCUGGCGGCGUGCCUAAUACAUGCAAGUCGAGCGAACAGACGAGGAGCUUGCUCCUUUGACGUUAGCGGCGGACGGGUGAGUAACACGUAGAUAACCUACCUAUAAGACUGGGAUAACUUCGGGAAACCGGAGCUAAUACCGGAUAAUAUUUCGAACCGCAUGGUUCGAUAGUGAAAGAUGGCUUUGCCAUCACUUAUAGAUGGACCUGCGCCGUAUUAGCUAGUUGGUAAGGUAACGGCUUACCAAGGCAACGAUACGUAGCCGACCUGAGAGGGUGAUCGGCCACACUGGAACUGAGACACGGUCCAGACUCCUACGGGAGGCAGCAGUAGGGAAUCUUCCGCAAUGGGCGAAAGCCUGACGGAGCAACGCCGCGUGAGUGAUGAAGGUCUUCGGAUCGUAAAACUCUGUUAUUAGGGAAGAACAAACGUGUAAGUAACUGUGCACGUCUUGACGGUACCUAAUCAGAAAGCCACGGCUAACUACGUG